rnacentral:rRNA from 1 species
GACGAACGCUGGCGGCGUGCCUAAUACAUGCAAGUCGAGCGGACGAAUCGAAAGCUUGCUUUUGAUUCGUUAGCGGCGGACGGGUGAGUAACACGUGGGCAACCUGCCCUGUAGACGGGGAUAACACCGAGAAAUCGGUGCUAAUACCGGAUAACACGAAAUGUCGCAUGACGUUUCGUUGAAAGACGGCGCAAGCUGCCGCUACAGGAUGGGCCCGCGGCGCAUUAGCUAGUUGGUGAGGUAACGGCUCACCAAGGCAACGAUGCGUAGCCGACCUGAGAGGGUGAUCGGCCACACUGGAACUGAGACACGGCCCAGACUCCUACGGGAGGCAGCAGUAGGGAAUCUUCCGCAAUGGGCGAAAGCCUGACGGAGCAACGCCGCGUGAGGGAUGAAGGCCUUCGGAUCGUAAAACUCUGUUAUUAGGGAAGAACAAGUGUGGAAGUAACUGGGCAUGCCGUGACGGUACCUAAUGAGAAAGCCACGGCUAACUACGUG